rnacentral:rRNA from 1 species
GGACGAACGCUGGCGGCGUGCCUAAUACAUGCAAGUAGAACGCUGAAGACUUUAGCUUGCUAAAGUUGGAAGAGUUGCGAACGGGUGAGUAACGCGUAGGUAACCUGCCUACUAGCGGGGGAUAACUAUUGGAAACGAUAGCUAAUACCGCAUAACAGCAUUUAACCCAUGUUAGAUGCUUGAAAGGAGCAAUUGCUUCACUAGUAGAUGGACCUGCGUUGUAUUAGCUAGUUGGUGAGGUAACGGCUCACCAAGGCGACGAUACAUAGCCGACCUGAGAGGGUGAUCGGCCACACUGGGACUGAGACACGGCCCAGACUCCUACGGGAGGCAGCAGUAGGGAAUCUUCGGCAAUGGGGGCAACCCUGACCGAGCAACGCCGCGUGAGUGAAAGAAGGUUUUCGGAUCGUAAAGCUCUGUUGUAAGAGAAGAACGUGUGUGAGAGUGGAAAGUUCACACAGUGACGGUAACUUACCAGAAAGGGACGGCUAACUACGUGCCAGCAGCCGC